GAUCUGCCGCCAGUCGGCGUGCCUGCAGCUGUUGGCUUGACCCCAGGCCGGGACGGGCGGAGCGGAACACUGCCCGGCGGGUCCAGGCCGACCGUGCCUGUGGCUCUCCGGAACAAUAAACCCCCGGCCCCAGUGAUGUGGGCCAGACCGGACCUGGAGAGGCGGCACCGCGACCCCUCCCGCAACCCGCCUGGCGGCCGGGGGCAGCGUGACCCGGCCCGCUACCGUGUCACAGCUGACGACUGACAAACAGCAGGCGACGUCGGGAGAACUCCCCGAGACACACGAGACAUCAGCCUUCUCGCUCCGCGGCCCUGCAGGACCUGCCCGCCGGGAGCCCCGGAGUCCGCGGCAGCGCCGAGGGCCCCUCCCCCAGGCCUCUGGGCUCCGAGGGACCAUGCCUGGCCGGAUGCUGCCGCCUGGCUUCAGUGCCAUCUGCAUGUCCUCAGGGAUGACAAAGGACUCAUUGUACCAGAUGUCAAAUUCUACAAGGAGGUGAGGAGACAGAACUUGAGGAAGCCGACAGUCUUCAUCUGUCACCCAGACUGGAGUGCAGUGGCGCAAUCUUGCCUCACUACAACCUCUGCCUCCUGGGUUCAAGCGAUUUUCAUGCCUCAGCCUCCCAAGAUGCUAGGAUUACAAGUGUGUGCCACCACGCCCUGCUCCUCUGAGAAAUAAAUGAGUAAAAUGCACCCCCUGUGAGUGAGAUGAUGCAUCUGACUUGCAGGAAUAAACCAAGUGACAUCUGGAGAUCACUCAUGGAAGCUGGCCUGGAACAGGGUUGUGAUUUAGCGAGGGAAAGCCCAGUAACCUGUGGUGUUUCCUGUCUGGAAGAAGACAAUAAGACUGAGCCAGGAGUGUGAAGAACAGUGUGGCCUCUGAACCACCUGUCCCAGAGUUGGAAUGGUCACUCACUAAAAUGCAGGUCCUGGGCCCUGCUCCAUCUCUCCCAAGUCAGAACCACUGGCUGAGGGGCUGGGAAUCUGCACUUGACCAGCCCUCUCAGAUAAGUCAUCUGAACACGCAAGCUUGAUGGGCCUUGGCCCUCAGUGCAGGUGUGGGCGGUGCACGCCACCAGGACAAGGACACUGGGUCAGGGUAACCAGGUACUCUUUACAUGUUGAGGAUCACAUAUGGUUUUGUUUGAUCUGGUGCAGAAGCUAACAUUAGCUGAUUACCUAAUUGGGCGUAAUUCCUCCUUCGGGGAGUCUGAGGGAAGGGGCUCAAUGCUGGAAGUUUCCCGGUCCCGCGAAAGCAUGUCUUUGACAUCCCCAUCUUUGGAGGAUGGGACCAGCUGUGUCUUGGAGGUGGAAACGUAAUCCAAGUCCUUCCCAUUCACAGGGCUGCUGGCACCUUCCUUUCUUGCCAAGGAGCUGGAAGAAGGCACGGAAGCCCCAGGGUUCAGUCAUGGACAGUGAGGUAUCAGAUGCCAGGAUGAGUGACCUUUCUCAGCACUGACUACACUGGGAACCCCACCUCAUUCAGCUCCCAUCUUGUUCAUAUGCCUAGGUAAAAGCGCAAAUAGUGUGAUGCUAAGCCAGGCAGAUGUGGAGGAAGAAGAGGGCAUUUUUCUCCCUUUUAUCAGAACAAAGAGCCCUCGGUGGUCUUGGCAGGAGACGCUUGGGAAAAAUGGGUACAAUCUCCAUGGAUUGAAAGUGUAUGGACCUGUAGGAUGGGCCACAGGUUCUCAGGAACCACCAUGGCUGCUGAGGUCUGAGUCAUACAGGCUUCCCCGGGAAGGACUGGCAGAGCCCCACACAGGGUGGUUCUGUCUGUGGACCAAUGGUAAAGCAGGAUGGCUCUGCCCUGCUGUUCUUACUGGUCCACACCCUGUUCUCCACACCAGCUCCCAGAAAAGUAGCUGUCCUCCCUGCCGAAGUGACAGUGCUUGGUGCCUUUCUCCGAGAAGAGGCAGAUCUGAGGACCGAACUGGCAGGAGGAUGCCCAUGGCUCUUCCCAAAGGUCUGAGGAUAGAAAAUCUGUUUCUUCCUCUUUCCUCCUCCUUGCAACAAGUAUGGCUCAGGGAACUGAGCCUCAACCCAUUGAAUACUGCACUGAUUAUCCGGAAGCAGAACAGAGAGGGUUGGGGUGUGACUGCACUCAUGAAGAGGCAGGAGGAAGCCAGGGACACUGGCAUCCUCUGCUGCCUGACUCUUGUCCUGCGUGUAACAGUUUUCUACAAUCAGCUCUGGCCUGUGGCCUGCGCUCACACACUCUUGCUCACAACAACCUCAAUGACUUGGAUGCUAUUAUUAUUAUUCCCAUUUUGGAGAUGCAGAAACAGGCACAGAGCGGUUCUCCUGUCUCACAUGGGGUGACCCCUUGGGUGUGAGAAGUGCAGAGCAGGGAAGGGAGCCCGGGCAUCAGCUCCAGAGCCUGUGCUCUUACCCACCACUACACAGCACCCUGGGAGGGCUCACUAAGUGAACCUAAAUGCUCUUCCCACCUUGCACAUACAAACGAGUCUUGCCUGAAAGGUGAACUGGAGUUUUAGGUGACCUGAGUGCCAGUCGGCGGGAAGACCCUAGUGAAGUGAGGGGAGGGGGUACAACAUAAAGUACCAGAGGGCAUGGGCUCUGGAGAGCUGGUCCAGCUUCUUGCUGCCAUUCCACUACUCAUUGGUGGUAUGGCCUUGGUGAGUGACUUCCCCUCUCUAAGCCUCUGUUUCUUCAUCAGUGUAAUAAAGACAUUAACUCCCACCUCACCAGGUUGCUGUGAGGAUGAGAGAUGAUUCUUGUGGGGUUCCAAACCAGCCCCAGCCCGGGCCCCACAGACUUGCUAGUAUUGGUAGCAGUGACGUCCAUUGUGCCAACCCAGUAGCUGAGACACCAGGGGGAAAGUGGGAACAGUGCACAUCCUCCCAUUCACCCACCGAGGAGGGCCAGCUGCUGAGGAGGCAGAGCGGCAAGGUCACUCACCUGAGUGGCUCUUUGAAUGUCUUCUUGGACUUGGCUUUCUUCCCAGGUUUGGUAGAGAAAGGGGUGACUCCGAGUCCAAAGUUUUGUCCUUCAGGCUCACCCACUAGGUGGCCAUCAACAUCCACAAGCCCCGCCUACAUAGAGAGGCCAGCCAAAGGUCUGUGAGUUAGAUUAAGGGCUUGGACCCCUUGGGGACCCACAUGUAUAUGGCCCAAGGCUCAGGGUGGACAUGUUCACCAUACACACCAAGGUUUGACAGCUGCUGAUGCCAGCCUCAGGCUGUCCCCAGUAGAGCGGUCCCUGACCACUCUGCCAAAUGUCCACUUUCCACAUGCACCCCCUCACCAGUAUGGCACCUCAUUCCAUACUCUGGGGAUCUUAAAGCUUAUUUCCAACCUAAUUCCAGGAAUUCAUCUUUAAUAUUAUUAUCCAUGUCUCUACCUUAUGGAAAUUAUUUUUAAUUCAAAGGUGGUUUACUCUUAACACAGGUCACCUGUGUUCAUUCUGGUGUUACCUUUAUCUGUUGCAAUCCUAGCUCUGGUUUAAUGCAUUAAUACUUGCUGGCUCUGCAAAGGUCUGAGGAUGGGAAAUCUGAGGUGAGUGCUGUCGGCAAGUAGCAACUAUGCUUACCUUCUGGAUAGCAGAAAUGGCUGCAAAGUCAUUCCUGUCAAUGAGGGUGUACUUCCUGCGCAAAGUGGACUCCACUUCCUGUUCCUGUUGGCUUGGGAGACAGCAAGAGAGAACAGCUUGUACCUGGGGCCAUGCUGAAUCCACUGGGGCAAAAACCAAGUACUGGGGUUAAAAGUCAUAUGGGUGAGGCCCCUUGUGUGGGGCCACACCUUCAUCAUGAACCAGACCAGACAAAAGGACAAAGGACUCACUUCCCCCUGCCCCAUUGCAUAUACCCACUGUCCGACCCCCAAACCCACAAGGGCCACCUUAUGUCAUGUGUGUCUGCUCCAAGAUGACACUUGAUAAGGACCGUAAGCCUCACUUGGGACCAUGUGGGGUUCUGUCUUAGGUUCUGUCUCUAAGAGGCCACUUGGAAUCACAUGACCAGCUUUAGUGACACCACCUAGCAUAAGCUGCUCAGACUAUGGGUAUGUUUGCACCCAAAUAAACCACAAAUGCCUCCUGAGGUGGGAGUGUGUGUUGCAAUAUUCACAAGGUGAAUAUUCACAAUGCCCUGCUCUGGGCACUCUCAGAGCUGGCACUCCAUAAACACCUCCUGUCCAAUUAAUGAACUCACUGAAUAUCCACCAGGGACCCAGGCAUGCCCCCAAGGACUCUGAUUUGGCUCUUCAUCCACAAGCAAGAAGAGGAUGCUCUUGGAGGCAAGUGCCCAGAUCGCAGGAGAUGAAAAUGGCAGCCUGAUGUAGGAAUGAGGUAGGGGUGGGGGUCUCUCACCUCAGAACCACCCGGAACUGGUUGAACACCUCCUUGAUCUGUCUAAGGCUGAUUAUCUGGAGGGAAGACAGCAAGGCAGAGGUUAGACCAAGGGCACCUCGAGGGACCAGGGGGCAUCUAUGUUAGUAGAGAAAUCAAGACCCCUUGGCUGACCCCUGGACCAUCUGUCUCGAGAAGAGGACAUGUGCACACAGCCUCUCAGCAAAGUGGCAGCCAAGCCCUCCUCCAGAGCAGAGAAACACCUGAUUAAUAAUUUUAAAACUAAGUAUUUGCUGAGGCUAUAAAAACCACCUUUUCGAAGUGGAGACCUCUAUAAAAUGAAAUGAUUCUAUACCUUGAAAAUACCUUCUAAAGGUUUUUUUUUUUUUAAAUAAAAUGUAUUUCUCAGCUUUCUCUUACUUCCA